rnacentral:rRNA from 1 species
GACGAACGCUGGCGGCGUGCUUAACACAUGCCAGUCGAACGGAAAGGCCCUGCUUUUGUGGGGUGCUCGAGUGGCGAACGGGUGAGUAACACGUGAGUAACCUGCCCUUGACUUUGGGAUAACUUCAGGAAACUGGGGCUAAUACCGGAUAGGAGCUCCUGCUGCAUGGUGGGGGUUGGAAAGUUUCGGCGGUUGGGGAUGGACUCGCGGCUUAUCAGCUUGUUGGUGGGGUAGUGGCUUACUAAGGCUUUGACGGGUAGCCGGCCUGAGAGGGUGACCGGCCACAUUGGGACUGAGAUACGGCCCAGACUCCUACGGGAGGCAGCAGUGGGGAAUAUUGCACAAUGGGCGGAAGCCUGAUGCAGCAACGCCGCGUGCGGGAUGACGGCCUUCGGGUGGGAAACCGCUUUCGCCUGUGACGAAGCGUGAGUGACGGUAAUGGGGAAAGAAGCACCGGCUAACUACGU